UACGUAGGUGACAAGCGUUGUCCGGAUUUACUGGGCGUAAAGAGCGCGUAGGCGGUCUGACAAGUCCCCUGUGAAAGCCCCCGGCUUAACCGGGGAACUGCAUGGGAUACUGUUGGGCUAGAGUGCAGGAGGGGAGAGCGGAAUUCCUGGUGGAGCGGUGAAAUGCGUAGAUAUCAGGAGGAACGCCGGCGGCGAAAGCGACUCUCUGGCCUGUAACUGACGCUGAGGAGCGAAAGCAUGGGGGAGCGAACAGG
rnacentral:rRNA from 1 species